GACGAACGCUGGCGGCGUGCUUAACACAUGCAAGUCGAACGGAAAGGCCCUGCUUUUGUGGGGUGCUCGAGUGGCGAACGGGUGAGUAACACGUGAGUAACCUGCCCUUGACUUUGGGAUAACUUCAGGAAACUGGGGCUAAUACCGGAUAGGAGCUCCUGCUGCAUGGUGGGGGUUAGAAAGUUUCGGCGGUUGGGGAUGGACUCGCGGCUUAUCAGCUUGUUGGUGGGGUAGUGGCUUACCAAGGCUUUGACGGGUAGCCGGCCUGAGAGGGUGACCGGCCACAUUGGGACUGAGAUACGGCCCAGACUCCUACGGGAGGCAGCAGUAAGGAAUAUUGCACAAUGGGCGGAAGCCUGAUGCAGCAACGCCGCGUGCGGGAUGACGGCCUUCGGGUUGUAAACCGCUUUCACCUGUGACGAAGCGUGAGUGACGGUAAUGGGUAAAGAAGCACCGGCUAACUACGUG
rnacentral:rRNA from 1 species